ACACAUGCAAGUCGAGGGGCAGCGCGGGAUAGCAGUAUCCUGGCGGCGACCGGCGGAAGGGUGCGUAACGCGUGAGCGACAUGCCCGUUGCCCGGGGACAACCGGUGGAAACGCCGACUAAUCCCCGAUGGGAUACGAUGCUUCAUGGCAUUGUAUUGAAAGUUACGGCGGCGACGGAUUGGCUCGCGUCCGAUUAGCUUGUUGGCGGGGUAACGGCCCACCAAGGCUACGAUCGGUAGGGGUUCUGAGAGGAAGGCCCCCCACAAUGGGACUGAGACACGGCCCAUACUCCUACGGGAGGCAGCAGUGAGGAAUAUUGGUCAAUGGGCGGAAGCCUGAACCAGCCAUGCCGCGUGCGGGAAGGAGGCCCUAUGGGCUGUGAACCGCUUUUGCCUGGGGGCAAUAAGGGCGUCGCGCACGUCCGAUGAGAGUACCAGGCGAAUAAGCAUCGGCUAACUCCGUGCCAGCAGCCGCGGUAAUACGGGGGAUGCGAGCGUUAUCCGGAUUCAUUGGGUUUAAAGGGUGCGUAGGCUGUGCGUCAAGUCGGGGGUGAAAUUCCGGUGCUCAACACCGGGGCUGCCCUUGAUACUGUCGCGCUGGAGUGCGGAUGCCGCCGGAGGAAUGAGUGGUGUAGCGGUGAAAUGCUUAGAUAUCACUCAGAACACCGAUUGCGAA
rnacentral:rRNA from 1 species